rnacentral:rRNA from 1 species
CCGCGUGAGUGAUGAAGGUCUUCGGAUCGUAAAACUCUGUUAUCAGGGAAGAACAAAUGCGUAAGUAACUGUGCACAUCUUGACGGUACCUGAUCAGAAAGCCACGGCUAACUACGUGCCAGCAGCCGCGGUAAUACGUAGGUGGCAAGCGUUAUCCGGAAUUAUUGGGCGUAAAGCGCGCGUAGGCGGUUUUUUAAGUCUGAUGUGAAAGCCCACGGCU